CUUGCUCCCUGAUGUUAGCGGCGGACGGGUGAGUAACACGUGGGUAACCUGCCUGUAAGACUGGGAUAACUCCGGGAAACCGGGGCUAAUACCGGAUGGUUGUUUGAACCGCAUGGUUCAGACAUAAAAGGUGGCUUCGGCUACCACUUACAGAUGGACCCGCGGCGCAUUAGCUAGUUGGUGAGGUAACGGCUCACCAAGGCGACGAUGCGUAGCCGACCUGAGAGGGUGAUCGGCCACACUGGGACUGAGACACGGCCCAGACUCCUACGGGAGGCAGCAGUAGGGAAUCUUCCGCAAUGGACGAAAGUCUGACGGAGCAACGCCGCGUGAGUGAUGAAGGUUUUCGGAUCGUAAAGCUCUGUUGUUAGGGAAGAACAAGUGCCGUUCAAAUAGGGCGGCACCUUGACGGUACCUAACCAGAAAGCCACGGCUAACUACGUGCCAGCAGCCGCGGUAAUACGUAGGUGGCAAGCGUUGUCCGGAAUUAUUGGGCGUAAAGGGCUCGCAGGCGGUUUCUUAAGUCUGAUGUGAAAGCCCCCGGCUCAACCGGGGAGGGUCAUUGGAAACUGGGGAACUUGAGUGCAGAAGAGGAGAGUGGAAUUCCACGUGUAGCGGUGAAAUGCGUAGAGAUGUGGAGGAACACCAGUGGCGAAGGCGACUCUCUGGUCUGUAACUGACGCUGAGGAGCGAAAGCGUGGGGAGCGAACAGGAUUAGAUACCCUGGUAGUCCACCGCCGUAAACGAUGAGUGCUAAGUGUUA
rnacentral:rRNA from 1 species